UCGGCCCGGGGGCGCGGCCCGGGACAGCCCGGGGACACGGCCCGGGGACGCGGCCCGGGACAGCCAGCGCAGGCCGCCGCCGCCGCCGCCGCUCCGCCUCCGCCGCCCUCCGCCGCCGCGGCACGUGACCCGGCCCGCCCCGCGCGCGCCUGCGUCCGAGCGCGUGCAGUGGGGGGGCGGGGGGAGCUGCGCCCCCACGCGUGGUGCCGUUCCUGGGAGGGCACCCCAGCUCCAGCACCUCUCUGUCUGCUACAGACGAGAGAAAAGCCUUUCCCCAAGCCCCGGGGGACCCUCAGAGGUGUCAGCAGAGGAGAUGGGGCAUCAGCCACAGGUGUGCUGUGCACAGUAAACCUCUGUGCCCGAGGGACAGAUCACUGCUGUACCAUACCAGAAACCCCCGAAUUUCCACCAGUGAGAUUCAGUGCAGAAAACGGCAUCCUUCCCUUCCCGUGAACCCAGAAGAGUCUGCUCUAAGACACGUAAAGUUUUAUGAAUCCUCCCACUUCUGGGGCUGCUGACAGAAGAAUAAAUAAAUAGAUUUGAUGUCCCUAUGCUGAAGAAAGUCUCCUCUUGCUCUACGGGCAGUGUGGUGGCACAGAAGACAACUUCCCAAUGACAGCAUUGUACUUCCCGACUCUUGGCUGAGGCCACUGCUGCAUUCGUAACAGAAAAUACCAUUGAUGUUCCUGUGUGCUGGGGAGCUGCCAUGCUCUUCUCAUGGGUGGCUGCGCUUCAGCGGAGCAUAAAAGCAUCUCUGUCCUUCCUCGCCACAACGUGCAAGGCUUCACGUAAGAUGCUUCGAGAUCCUCAGCUGGCAGGUGGCAGGAACGAUUAGAGCGAUUAUCUGCCACGGUGCCCUGACCGCCCCCAAACGACCGGCAUGCUCCCCGUGUCAAAUGGCAACGAGUAUUAGAAGGUGUGCUACAAACAGAUGGGUGUUACGGGGUCCCUCAGGAGGAGGGGUGGGCGUGACCCGUCUAAUCAUCAAAUGAAAGACCAAGACGACCAUAAGCAGACAUACAUAUAUAAUAUGUACAGUGGCCAUGGAUGCAUUUGCACCAUGAAGGAAAUAAUCAAAUUUUAGACGACAGAAAAUGAUCAAAUUCCAAAAUUUUUUAGUGCCAGGUGCCUCUGUCUAACUUGCUAGUAAAAAGAGAAGGAAAUGUCCAAAUGUGGGUUGAAUGAAGUGCUGCAGCUGUGAGAUGUGGUAUUAUUUCUUUGCUCUAUUUCAGACAAGAAAUGCAGAAGUAUUCUUGUAUUUUG